CGGUGUUCAACUGGCGUGCCCGCGGGACGUCCUGCCGGUGAGCUCAGCCCGCGAGGGCGGCUCAGCUUGAAAUCCCAUCGCGGUGCUCUUCAUUGAGUGUCGAGGUGGGCCGGCACGAUUACUUUUGAACAAAUUAGAGUGCUUAAAGCAGGCUAAAAUUUUGCCUGAAUACUGUGUAUAUGGAAUAAUGGAAUAGGACCUCGGUUCUAUUUUGUUGGUUUUCGGAACCCCGAGGUAAUGAUUAAUAGGAACGGAUGGGGGCAUUCGUAUUGCGACGUUAGAGGUGAAAUUCUUGGAUCGUCGCAAGACGGACUAAAGCGAAAGCAUUUGCCAAAAACGCUUUCAUUGAUCAAGAACGAAAGUUAGAGGUUCGAAGGCGAUCAGAUACCGCCCUAGUUCUAACCAUAAACUAUGCCAGCUAGCGAUCCGCCGACGUCCCUCUGAUGACUCGGCGGGCAGCUUCCGGGAAACCAAAGUUUUUGGGUUCCGGGGGAAGUAUGGUUGCAAAGCUGAAACUUAAAGGAAUUGACGGAAGGGCACCACCAGGAGUGGAGCCUGCGGCUUAAUUUGACUCAACACGGGAAACCUCACCAGGCCCAGACACUGGAAGGAUUGACAGAUUGAGAGCUCUUUCUUGAUUCAGUGGGUGGUGGUGCAUGGGCCGUUCUUAGUCGGUGGAGCGAUUUGUCAGGUUAAUUCCGAUAACGGACGAGACUCUGACCUGAUAACUAGACGCACUUGCGGCAUCUCAAAGGUCCGCCGGCGGCUGGCUUUGCGCCCGUCGUCGCGCGCGAUUUUUACUGCCGGCGUACAAUAAAUUCUUCUUAGAGGGACAAGUGG
rnacentral:rRNA from 1 species